rnacentral:rRNA from 1 species
UACGUAGGGCGCAAGCGUUGUCCGGAAUUAUUGGGCGUAAAGAGCUCGUAGGCGGCCUGUUGCGUCCGCUGUGAAAUCCCGGGGCUCAACCCCGGGCCUGCAGUGGAUACGGGCUGGCUGGAGGCAGGCAGGGGAGAACGGAAUUCCUGGUGUAGCGGUGAAAUGCGCAGAUAUCAGGAGGAACACCGGUGGCGAAGGCGGUUCUCUGGGCCUGUUCUGACGCUGAGGAGCGAAGGCGUGGGGAGCGAACAGG